UUUCAGCUGUGAUGCUGAAGACCUGUGAACACAUCUCCCAACAUUAAGGUUGAAAGAACUGAAAAUAGCUGAGCUACUGGGAUUCAAUUGUUUUUUCUUAAUCAUUAACCUCCAUAUGUUGUUCACACCUCGCCAGGAUUCUUCCUCUAGAGCUAAGGGCUCCUCUCCCUUGUGCUCCGAGGGUACCAGCAAGAUCUUCAGUCCGAGAACCCAUCACUGGCAUCUCAGUCUGCAGCUGUCAGUGAGCAGAGAUGAGAGAUGCUGACCAGUUUUGCUUCUGUUUCUGUGCUAAAACCCCUGAGAAAAGCAGCCUUGAGGGAGAGAGGGUUUAUUCUGUGUGCAGUUCCAGGUGAUAGUCCAUCAUUGUGGGGUAGUCAGGUAGGGUCUCGGAGCAGCUAGUCACACCCACAGUCAAGAACACAAUGGGAACAAAGGUAUACAUGCCCACUGCUCAGUAGCUUUCUUUACUCAUUCACGUAUGACUCAGGAACCAAACCCAGAGAGUGGGCUGAUGCCCACCUUCAGGCUCUGUCGUGUCACACGGUUCAUAAUCACGACAAUCCCUCAGACACACCCACAGGUCAACCUGAUACAUACAAUCCACCACUGAAACUCUUUCCUGGUUACUGUAGGCUGUGUCAUGCUGACAACUAACACCAACCACCACAGAUGGCAAGUGUUUCCCAACCCAAGGCACCAUGAUGGGUGAUGCCCUGGAGGUGGUGACCAGAAAAGACUUUCAGUAUGGGACUUGAGCUGAGAAAGAUGGCAGCUGCAUCCUGUAUGUGGAGAGGUCCCCUAGCGCUCGGAUGCCUGUGCUCUCUGUUCUUCUAGCUGGAAGAGAUUUGACCUUGAUGCAAAGGCUGCCAGUGUGAAAAUUACCUGUCCAUAAGCACAUGAUGACUGUAAUGUUUCCUGGAAGCACCCAAGACUGUCAACAAAGCACUUGGUGGGCACCUUGGGCCAGACACCUUUCAAGAUGCUGCCUGUACGCUGGUAAAAGCAACAAGCCGAACAUCUGUCUUGCUGUGGAUUAUUUUGUGGCGGGGAGCAGGAAAAGAUCCCUAUAAACGUUUGACUACAUCAACGGGUGCUAUGAAGAAAAUAAAGCUGAGCACUGGGCUAGAAGGCACGGGAACGGUGUGACGGACCAGAUAACAGACCCCAAAGGUGAUCUGUCUUUAAUCCCCUCAGUCUGGGAAUGUUACCUUUGAUGAUGAAUACUAUGAAUUGUGAUGUGAGGGGGCUGGAGAGGACCUGAGUUCAGUUCCCAGCAUCUACAUUGGACAACUCAUAUCUGCCCUCUUCUGGUCUCAUCAGGCACCUGCAUGCACAUGUGUACACGUGUGUGUACACACAUACACACAUAAACAUAAACAAAACAUAAAUAUUAAAAUAGUUUUGACGUGAAGAGAUCAGAUUGGUGAAAAUAGUUAUAAACUAAAAUUGAUAACCUAGAAAAUUUCUAGUUAAAGAUAAAAAAAGGGAGAAAACAGCUUCGAUUUUUAGUGUGAAACUAGAAAGAAUGAGAGAAUCAACAUGGGGAGCUUCUGAGAGUGCAGACGUGAAAGCCCACCCUUUUACAGAGCCUGGCGAUAUACCUGCUCCGGUGCCGUCGCUGCUGCAAUGGUUCAUCUUCGUUGUCACUGCGCCUGGACUUGGAAUUGCCUAGAAGACACACCUCCUGGCAUCCAGAGAUGCUGGCUGAGGAAAACACACCCUCAGUGUGAGCAGCAGCACGGGCGAGGGUCUUAGGCUGAAUAAGAGGAGAAAGGAAGCUGAACACCAGUUGUAAUUUCUCUGCUUCCUGACUAGAGGCAAUGUGAUCACUGCCUCAUGUUCCUGUGGCCACAGCUAGCUCUGCUUCCCGCCACAACGGACCGGUUCCUCAAACCACAUGGCAAGAUAAACUCUGAAGGAGCUGUCGGUGUUCACCACAGUCUAGAGAAGGAUCUCUGCUACCCCAAGGACAUACCAGAAGCUGAGUCGGCAAUGCACAGUGUUAGAGGUGGGGAGUGAACAGACUGAGAGAACAGAUUGCUGCUGUUACUGACUGAAUGGGUCAGUUGUCAUGGGAACGGGCUCCUGAGAAGAGAACCUAAGGGCCCCACUCGCCUACUCCCUCUCUCUCUCCUGUGCCCUUGCUUCUGUUGUGUUUGCUUUCCGCCAUUCCUUAUGAAGGUUCUCAUCAGUCCUGAGCCCUUUGGCUUUGACUUCUCCACUUCUAGUAUUGUAAGAAGUAAAUCUCUGUUCUUUAUAAGUUCCCAGAUUUGGAGCUGGGCAUGAUGGUGCCAGCCUACAAUCCCAGGAGUGGGGGAGCUGAGGGUGGAGAAUUACAAAUGCCACGCCAGCCUAGACUAUAUAGCAAGGCCCUGUCUUCUCGGAAACAAACCAAAACCAACCAAACAAAAAAACAUCGCUUACUCUGGAGAAAGCUGUUGUAACAGCACACCACAUGGGAAUGCACGAACUGUUAUAUAUCUGGGUGAGUCGUCCUCAGGCAAGGGGACUUGAUCCCGCCAUCUGUCUGUGGUAGUUCACUUAAACUUCACCUCUGAUUAGAGGAAGCCGCUUUCUUUUCUGUUGCGUACAUCCAAAGGGAACCAUGUGUGUCUCUUGUUUUGAGACAAGGUCUGGAAUUCCCUAUGUAGUCAAGGAUGGCCUGUAGUUUCUCAGUGCUGAGAUCACAGGCUCACCACCUAUCUUUAUGACUGGCAGUAGGCCUGCCAUUUGGACACUUUGGAAGUUCCUCACCACCUGGAGCCUAGAUGUUUGGUUUAACGUCCUUCGAUGGGUACAGUUCCACGAGGUGACUCCUGUCCUAACAUAAGACGGUCAUUGUAGGCAAACUUGGAAAAAGGCACCGUAGCUUUAAGAAAGAAUUAAACAGGCCUCAAGUAGACAGAAGUUCUCCAUUGCAAGUUCCCUGGGGUGAAUGCCUUAGCCAAAGGGUAGUCGGGGAUGGGAAGGUUUUUCCUUUUUGCCCCAGAAAAUAUUGUUUCUGAUUUUUAGUUUGUACUUGCUGGCACAGUGAUCCUGGAUUAUCUGGGCACAGUUACCUGUGCCUUUAUAAGUUGAUUCAGGGAAAUCCACAUAGCAACGUUGAUGUUCUUCUUUUCUGGCGUGGGGUGUAUCGC